rnacentral:SRP_RNA from 1 species
CCGCCACCGCGAGGGAAAGGCGACGAACCAGGUCAGGUGGGGAACCAAGCAGCCUUAAAUCGUUUGCCCCUGUGCGGUGGUUUUUC